rnacentral:sRNA from 6 species
UAUCUCUCUGUACAGGGAAGGAUGAGAAGCUUCGAUUAAGGUUCGACUCGAGCGGAAGCGAGAGAACGUUGCCAACGGCAACGGCCCGAAGGGCGCGACGCGCCGAGUCAUCCUUCCCCCACCAUAA